rnacentral:rRNA from 1 species
GAUGAACGCUAGCGAUAGGCUUAACACAUGCAAGUCGAGGGGCAUCGAGGAAAUAGCAAUAUUUCUGUCGGCGACCGGCGCACGGGUGAGUAACACGUAUGCAACCUACCCAUAACACUGGGAUAGCUCGUCGAAAGGCGAAUUAAUACCGGAUAAAGCAGGGCCCCCGCCUGGGGAUAUUUGCUAAAGAUUAAUCGGUUAUGGAUGGGCAUGCGCUCCAUUAGGUAGUUGGUUGAGGUAACGGCUCACCAAGCCAUCGAUGGAUAGGGGAACUGAGAGGUUUAUCCCCCACACUGGUACUGAGACACGGACCAGACUCCUACGGGAGGCAGCAGUGAGGAAUAUUGGUCAAUGGGCGAGAGCCUGAACCAGCCAAAUCGCGUGAAGGAUGACGGUAUUAUGUAUUGUAAACUUCUUUUGUAAGGGAAUAAAGUGAGGGACGCGUCCCUUUUUGUAUGUACCUUACGAAUAAGCAUCGGCUAACUCCGUGCCAGCCGCCGCCGUAACAC